UUAAAGUUUUUUAGCUUUAUUUUAUUAUGUAAAAUUGUUGUAUAUGUAAAUUUAAGAAGUAAUAAAAAAUAUUUUUAAAUAAAAUAUUAUUAUAUUUAAGUCGCAGUAGAUAAUUUUAUUUAUUUAAGAGAUUAAGAAAUAGUUAUUUUUUUAGUAUAAACAAAUUUUGUGCCAGCAGUUGCGGUUAGACAAAAUAUACAAUAAUAAAUGUUUAGUUAUAGUAAAUUAUUAAUAUUAGAAUAUUAUAGUAAGAUUUAUUAAGUGAAAUUUUAAAUUUUUAUAAUUUUAUAGAUUGAUUUUAAAACUAAAAAAUUUUUAUAGAAGACUAGGAUUAGAUACCCUAUUAUUAAGAAUAAUAAAAGAAAACUAAAUUAGUAGUAGUUAUGUUCUUUAAAAUUAAAAAAAUUGGCGGUAUUUUAGUCUAUUCAGAGGAACCUGUCCUAUAAUUGAUAUUCCACGUUUUUAUUUACUUAUUUUUAAUUUGCAUAUCGCCGUAGGUUGAAUAUUUUUAUAGAAUUAUAAUGUUCAGGAUUUUAAAAGAAAAUAAAUCAGGUCAAGGUGUAGUUUAUAGAUAAGAAGAGAUGGGUUACAAUAAAUUUAUUUAUAUGGAAAUGUUUUUUUAAAAUAAUAUUGAAGGUGGAUUUGAAAGUAAUUUUAUAAAAAUUUAUAAGAUGAUUUUAGCUCUAAAAUAUGUACAUAUCGCCCGUCGCUUUCACUUUAAAGUGAAAUAAGUCGUAACAUAGUAGGUGUACCGGAAGGUGCACCUAGAAAGGA
rnacentral:ncRNA from 1 species